CUUCAGGGUGAUCGGAACUGGCGCGGUCUCCCUGUCCGCGUCAUUUCCGCUUUCACCGCGGCCAUUUUUCUUGUGGGAAAGUUCCCUGAAUUAAAUACCGGAAGUGACGCGACGGAGUGAAUCCGUUCGUCAUUUCCAAAUCAGGCCGUUUUACUGGCAAACUUAAAGCAUAAUCUGCCCACACUUUCUUGUGGGAAAACUCCCAUCACGGGUAUCCAAAUGGAGGAGUAAAACAUUUUACAAAUAGCCAGAAAAAAGGGGAAAAAGAAGGGAAAAAAAGGGGACAUAUAAACAUUUAGUACAUAAUUCAUCACCUAAACAGUGACAAUGUCAACUUCAGAAUAUAAACCAGAAAAUGCUCAUAAUUACAGACUUAAUAUAUAUACCCCCAAAUGUAUAUCAUCUUCUCCCUUCUAUUAUCA